rnacentral:misc_RNA from 1 species
CCGAGUUAUACAACUCCCAACCCCUGUGAACAUACCUACUGUUGCUUCGGCGGAUCAGACCGCUCCGGUAACAACGGGCCGGCCCCGCCAGAGGACCCCUAACUCUGUUUCUAUAUGUUAACUUCUGAGUAAAACCAUAAAUAAAUUA